UACGUAGGGUGCAAGCGUUAAUCGGAAUUACUGGGCGUAAAGCGUGCGCAGGCGGUUAUGUAAGACAGGUGUGAAAUCCCCGGGCUUAACCUGGGAACUGCAUUUGUGACUGCAUAGCUAGAGUACGGUAGAGGGGGAUGGAAUUCCGCGUGUAGCAGUGAAAUGCGUAGAUAUGCGGAGGAACACCGAUGGCGAAGGCAAUCCCCUGGACCUGUACUGACGCUCAUGCACGAAAGCGUGGGAGCAACAGG
rnacentral:rRNA from 1 species